UACGUAGGGGGCGAGCGUUGUCCGGAGUUACUGGGCGUAAAGCGCACGCAGGCGGUCUGUUAAGUUUGUAGUGACAGUUGGUGGCUUAACUGCCAAAGUGCUUCGAAAACUGACAGACUUGAGGGCUUCAGAGGGACACGGAAUUCCGGGUGGAGUGGUGAAAUGCGUAGAGAUCCGGAGGAACACCAAAGGCGAAGGCAGUGUCCUGGGGAGUACCUGACGCUCAGGUGCGAAAGCCAGGGGAGCGAACGGG
rnacentral:rRNA from 1 species